UCACAACUAUUGAUAAGCGAUUCCUUGCCAGACAGAAUGCUAUCAAACAAAGUUUUCUCUAACCAUCUUAAGAUCUGUUUAUUUGCUUAUAGUAGG